UUUUCAACAUUUUUUUCUGUUUUUGAAGGGAGGUUAUAUUUAUUUCCCCAAGGCUGCAACAAUUUUUUAUAAGUUAUUUUAAUAAGAUCUUGUAAUAGUAAACCCUUGGCAAUCUAUAGUGAACAAUUUUCAGUAAAUAUUACUCCACACGACCAAAUCAUGAAAAUAAUUUAAAAUUGUUUAUUUGGAAGCUAACCCUAUAAUGAUUCUCAAUUUUCUGCUUUGUGCACGGAUGUCACAAAAUGCACCUUCCCUUUCAUACUGUGGUUACAAAAUUUAUAGAACAGUAUAUUUCAUCUAAACCUGGCAUCUUCCUUUAUUGCUUGGAUUCGCCACUCAUAAUGCGAAUGGUUUUGAAAUUCCCACAGCAAAAACUCAUGCUUCCUUGUCUCUCUCAGAAAGACUUAUUUCUAGUGCUGACAGGGGAAGCAGCUCCUCGGGGUAUGAAGUCCGAAUGCACUGCUUACUCCAGACCACUCCUGUAGAUAAUUCAUGCAACUGACAUGAAUCACACGUAACACCUACUGCCCCUUUGUGCCGGAAAUGCCACAGUUUUUGUAGUUGUUGCUGUACAGAUAGAAGAAUAGGCCCUGAAGUCAUCAAGCAGUAAUUAAUAUACUUCAGGAAUGAGCUGUCGUAUUCGGUAGAUGCUAAUUAAGAAGGAUAGAUGGCAGUGAUUGAAAAAAGCGUAAACCAUUCGGUCAACGCAAGUGAAAGGUCAGGUAUUAUCUUGGAUGCUUUAAUCAAGGGUGCUCUGCUUUUUCUUCCUCUCUGUUCUAAAUAACCGAAGAAACAUGGAAGGAAAGGUCUGCAGGCACUAACUCGGGGGGAAAUGAUGGAUAGUGCGUGCCCUCCAGAAAGGAGGAUGUAGUAGAUAUGGGUCAAAAUUUGAUUGACCUGACCCCCAAUGACGUUGCACUGUGCUCUGCAAAAAAGGCAAAACAAACAAACAAACAAAAACACACAACAAAACACUGGUGCUUUCUGACCAUGUCACAGGUCAGCCACAUCUUUGUGAGGUGUUUGCAUGACUCACAGGAGCAGAGAAGUAUGUCGUAGAGAGAACCGCUGCGAAGACUCUAGGCCCAGGAAUAAGCCGAAAAGUUAGAAACUGACUAAAGGUCAAUUUUUAUCUAGUGGGAUGCAUAAUAUCUGUGAAAUCUAACAUGCAAAAUGAAAGGAACUUUCCCAAAAUGCGGAGUAAUAAAAUCUAAUUCAUUUUCACGUCUUUGGGAUAGAAAGUAGGAGCCAGAGACAUGUUAGUUAUCAACUUUAAUUCGGCAGUUCCCUUUACUCCUUUGGUUGCAUUUGUUUAUAGCAUCUUUCUCAAAUGGUAUGUAAUGCUACCAUUGUAUUUCAUAGAAAGAUUCCUUCAUUUCAGUGGCUAAUGUUAAAAGAGCUUAAAUGGCUGGCCUUUAGUAAAACUACAUUGACCAGACAAAACAAAGGCAGUAAUUUCCAUACAACCAAACUAAUGUCUUAUUAUAGUGCUUGUUAUUCUGUCCAUGUUGUAUACCUAACAUUCAUAGGUAAGGCUACCCUUAGACAACCGUUCCAUGGAAUUAUAUGCCAACAUGUGUAAUUAGAUUCUUAACAUGUAAAAGCAGGCAUUAAAAUGUUUAAAUAAAUGCAACAUAAGAAUAAGUAAAUAGACUUCAAUAUUUUCAAAUUUGAGUGGCGAUCAGAUCUUGCGUAGAAUUACUUGCAUAGAAUUAAUUGUUGCAUGAUAUUAUUUCUCAUUUCCACAUCUUAGUCAACUCUGGAAAGGACAUUGAAUUUAAAUCAAGUCUGAUUUAAGAUUGCUGAUCCAUAGAACGUUCCGCUCUAUGAGAAGAAACCCUGAUAAUGUUGCUAGAAAAAGAAAAAGGAGAAUAUAUAAAUAGGUCCUGAGAAAGUUCUUGAAGUUCGAAUUCCUUGUGGCUAGGGAAGCAGAGUGUAGAAACACUGUCCUUUAAAAUCCUGCCCUUGUUACCUAGUCAUAGAGAGAGUUAAGCUAUCAGCGACCAAAGCAUAUACAAGGCUGGACAUGCAAAUACUCUAUCUGGUUUCAGUAAUAGCCUUUCAUGAAAAUGAGAGAUUUCUAUUUCCAGAAGCUUUCAAAGGAACUGGAAUAAGGCUGUAGCCAGUGGGUAGCAUUGAUGUGGUGUAGUGGUUUAUUUUUUUUUUAAACCUGAGUAUAACCCAUUGAUGUUCUUUGGAAAAGAGGUGAUAAUGUGAUUGUGGCUGUAUUCAUUUGGACAGCAUGGGCAUAGCUAGAAACAUUUUUUUUUCUCAAAUAGCCAGUUUACCGAAGACACCACCAGGCACUGCCUUCUUAGCACCAGUUAAUGAUGUUCUAGUUAAAUUGUGACUUGCACAAUAUCUGUUCCUGCUAUUGCUGCCAAGCAUAUUGCAGAUCAAGGAGCCUGUUAUGCAACUGUGACUAGAAUCUUGGGCCACGUCUCACUGUUUCAUCUUGUCCCUUGGGAGUUUUGUUUGGUUCUGUGUGUGUGUGUGUAUGUGUGUGUGUGGUGUGUGCGCUCAAAUAUGAUGACUUUUAAGCAGACCAAUAAUAGACUAUGUAUCUCCCUUUUACAGCGUGUAUCAUGAGUCGUACAAGUUCUAAUUGCUCCCAGUGUGUGUGUACACACUUUGGAGAAAAA